GGGGCAUUGGCAGGCUUACACAUGCAGUCGAGGGGCAGCGGGGGUGCAGGCUUGCCUGCACCUGCCGGCGACCGGCGCACGGGUGAGUAACACGUAUGGAACCUGCCCGCCACAGGGGGAUAACCCGGGGAAACCCGGCCUAAUACCCCAUGCCGCCCGGACCGGGCAUCCGGACCGGGCGAAAGGAGGAAUCCGGUGGCGGCUGGGCAUGCGGCGCAUUAGCUUGACGGCGGGGUAACGGCCCACCGUGGCGACGAUGCGUAGGGGUUCUGAGAGGAAGGCCCCCCACACUGGAACUGAGACACGGUCCAGACUCCUACGGGAGGCAGCAGUGAGGAAUAUUGGUCAAUGGGCGGAAGCCUGAACCAGCCAAGUCGCGUGAGGGAAUAAGGCCCUACGGGUCGUAAACCUCUUUUGCCGGGGAGCAAGGGCGGGGACGUGUCCCGGCCCGGAGAGUACCCGGAGAAAAAGCAUCGGCUAACUCCGUGCCAGCAGCCGCGGUAAUACGGAGGAUGCGAGCGUUAUCCGGAUUUAUUGGGUUUAAAGGGUGCGUAGGCGGGCUUCUAAGUCAGCGGUAAAAAUUCGGGGCUCAACCCCGUCCGGCCGUUGAAACUGGGGGCCUUGAGUGGGCGAGAAGAAGGCGGAAUGCGUGGUGUAGCGGUGAAAUGCAUAGAUAUCACGCAGAACCCCGAUUGCGAAGGCAGCCUUCCGGCGCCCUACUGACGCUGAGGCACGAAAGUGCGGGGAUCGAACAGGAUUAGAUACCCUGGUAUUCCGCACAGUAAACGAUGGAUGCCAGCUGUCCGGGCCGAAUGGGGCCUGGGUGGCAAAGCGAAAGCGUUAAGCAUCCCACCUGGGGAGUACGCCGGCAACGGUGAAACUCNAAGGAAAUGACGGGGG
rnacentral:rRNA from 1 species